GAUUUUGAAAAAUAUAUGUCGUGUCUGUUACAAUCGAAUAACAAGGAGUACUAAGAAGGGCACUGAACAAGCGAGAUCUACAUAAGGACACUGAACAAGCGAGACCUACAUAAGGAGACCGAACAAGCAAGAUCUGCAUCUAAGCGACAACGUAUUACCAUUUGCACUCAGUAUCAACAUUGUACGAGAACCGAACAAGCAAGAUCUGCAUGUAAGUGAUCACGUAUUACAAUUUGCAAUCGUGUCUGUAUUUUUGUGAACUGUUGUUAAUAAAUAGAUAAAUCUUUUUAUAUAUAUAUACUUCUCAUUUUAUCGUUAUUUUUUUAUUGUCGAUUUUAUUCUUUUUUGUACGAACAUUUUAUUUAGAAGAAGAAUACUGCACAAGCAAGAUCCGCAUAUGAUGAGCAUAAGGAUACUUGGCACGCAAAACUUUCAUACCAUGGCUUAAAGCUAGGCUGUGAACAAAGUAUACAUGGCUUACCCAACUGGUACUGCCGCUUAUGAUGCUGCUAAUUCAGCGGUGUCGUACAGGCACAAAACACGGAAAUAUUUAUUUUUGCAGUAUGAGAUGAACAACAAAUCUAGUUUGUACAGCUACUUGAACAACUGCAGUAUAGAUUGAUAUCAAGAAAAAUACAAUGUACAUAACACCAUAUUGUUUUUUGUAUUUUUAUGGUUUUUGUUUAGGAAAUCCUCUUUUAGGAACAUUUAGACUGACAGAAAUUAAGACCCCAAGGCUCAUAAAAUUUUUAACCUUUGUAAAUUUUCACAGUAUAAGGUUAGAGGUCAAUUUCGCUUUUUUGUACGUAAAAGGAUACAUUUAAUUGGGUUAAAAUCAAAAACGAGUGGUGUAAGUAGUUUUUUUAAAAAGCUUAAAUUCCAGUUAUGUCGCAUUUUAAAGUUUUCAAUUCCUUUCAGAAAAGCACACCCAGACGCAACCAACAUAUGAACGUUCUUUUGAUAUAAAUAAAAUUGACAUACAAUAUGAUAUCAGUAAGUGAGACAUGCACAGAAGGAAGCAGAAAACCAUCCUAACAUACACACCAUUUACGUAGAAACCGUAGAAAGCACAAUUGAGGGACGGACUUGGUAACAUGGGGCCUGUCCGAGAGACAGACCCUAUGGUUCGGCAAAAUCUGGCAAAAAAUUUAUAUAUUGUUCUCUUUUUAAGUAGGAUGCAAUUUAUAUAUUAUAAAAUAUAUUUAAAAUUUGAUAUUUUUUUUACUAAUUGAAGAAAGAGACUUUUGUUUAAUUUUUUUUGAAAAUAUCGGGGUAAGGGGCUUCCAGUUGAACAAAAGUAUUUCAAGACAGGAAUCCAAGGAAAACAAAUAAAAAACUGUUAAAUAAUGACCCCACCAUCAGAAUACAGUAUAUAUAAAACCAACUCUCAGAAUUUGAAUACUUGAAUACCCUGAAAUUUUCACUUAAGCACCUCUGUCCCCCUGAACCUGUUUCAAUACUGAAUCUUUCGUUAA